CGGAGGUCCCGAGCGUUGUUCGGAUUCAUUGGGCGUAAAGGGUGCGUAGGCGGUCUUCUAAGUUUGAUGUGAAAUUCCGGGGCUCAACCCUGGCAUGGCAUUGAAUACUGGAGGACUAGAGUACCGGAGAGGAAACUGGAAUUUACGGUGUAGCAGUGAAAUGCGUAGAGAUCGUAAGGAAGACCAGUGGCGAAGGCGAGUUUCUGGACGGUAACUGACGCUGAGGCACGAAGGCCAGGGGAGCAAACGGGGAUUAGAUACCCCGGUAGUCCUGGCAGUAAACGGUGCAUGUUUGGUGUGGGAGGAAUCGACCCCUUCCGUGCCGGAGCUAACGCGUUAAACAUGCCGCCUGGGGAGUACGGUCGCAAGAUUA
rnacentral:rRNA from 1 species